rnacentral:rRNA from 1 species
CCUACGGGAGGCAGCAGUGGGGAAUUUUGGACAAUGGGCGCAAGCCUGAUCCAGCAAUGUCGCGUGCAGGAUGAAGGCCUUCGGGUUGUAAACUGCUUUUGUACGGAACGGAAAAGUCUGCCCUAAUACGGUGGGCCCAUGACGGUACCGUAAGAAUAAGCACCGGCUAACUACGUGCCAGCAGCCGCGGUAAUACGUAGGGUGCGAGCGUUAAUCGGAAUUACUGGGCGUAAAGCGUGCGCAGGCGGUUAUAUAAGACAGAUGUGAAAUCCCCGGGCUCAACCUGGGACCUGCAUUUGUGACUGUAUAGCUAGAGUACGGUAGAGGGGGAUGGAAUUCCGCGUGUAGCAGUGAAAUGCGUAGAUAUGCGGAGGAACACCGAUGGCGAAGGCAAUCCCCUGGACCUGUACUGACGCUCAUGCACGAAGGCGUGGGGAGCAAACAGGAUUAGAUACCCUGGUAGUCCACGCCCUAAACGACGUCAACUGGUUGUUGGGUCUUCACUGACUCAGUAACGAAGCUAACGCGUGAAGUUGACCGCCUGGGGAGUACGGCCGCAAGGUUGAAACUCAAAUGAAAUUGACGGCUGGAGAGNGCGACGACGACGACGAGGGAGGAGG